GAGGUAACACAUAAAGUGACCAGAGCCCGGAAGAGUUCACAUGCUUCAGGUCACACAGCGGACUCUGAGCUCCGUCUCUCCAAGGGGAAUUCCGGCAUGUGUCCCCUCCUUCCUUCCCAGACUGGAAGAGGGACCAGCUGUACUCAUUAUGCCAGGUGCCAGAGCACAGCUGUUCCCUCAUUGUAGCCUUCCACACCCAAGUCCAGGCUCUGCCAUGCCCUCCCCGCUUCUCCCGUUGCUGCUUCGAUCGUUGCUCUCCCGCCUCCUGCUGCCUGUUGCCCGCCUGGCCCGCCAGCACCUCCUGCCCCUGCUGCGCCGACUGGCCCGCCGACUGAGCUCCCAAGACCUGAGAGAGGCUUUGCUGGGCUGUCUGCUGUUUGUCCUCAGCCAGCAACAGCCACCGGAUGCUGGAGAGACUUCCAGAGUGGACCACUCCCAAAGGAAGCAGAGAUUGGGCCCCCAGAAGUGAGGCCACGGGUCGUGGAAGCAGCAGUGUCUGGCCAUUGAAGUACCGUCUUUUGGAGAGGUUUAGCCCAAGUAUCUGCACUGACUGUAGAAUGCCCAGUGAGAGAAGACGGAGUGGGGGCUGAGCGCGAGAGGAUUCUGACCCGAGCUCCCAUUCUCCUAGGAUCUAGCAGAUCACAGAUGUGCUGUUCUUCCGUUCUUCCCUUCUCCCGGCAGUCCCCUCUGCCAAUGACCUCUGGCCUUCAGGGUAGACCGGCAAGUGAGGGCAGCAAGAUACUUCCUACAAAAGUCCGCAGAAACUAGAGCACAUGAGACCUGUGGGGACAAGCGGAUUAAAGGUAGUCCCAGCUUCCCUAAGAC